rnacentral:rRNA from 1 species
AGUGAACGCUGGCGGUAGGCCUAACACAUGCAAGUCGAACGGCAGCACAGGAGAGCUUGCUCUCUGGGUGGCGAGUGGCGGACGGGUGAGGAAUACAUCGGAAUCUACUUUUUCGUGGGGGAUAACGUAGGGAAACUUACGCUAAUACCGCAUACGACCUACGGGUGAAAGCAGGGGACCUUCGGGCCUUGCGCGAUUGAAUGAGCCGAUGUCGGAUUAGCUAGUUGGCGGGGUAAAGGCCCACCAAGGCGACGAUCCGUAGCUGGUCUGGUAGGAUGAUCAGCCACACUGGAACUGAGACACGUGCCAGACUCCUACGGGAGGCAGCGGUGGGGCAUAUUGGACAAUGGGCGCAAGCCUGAUCCAGCCAUACCGCGUGGGUGAAGAAGGCCUUCGGGUUGUAAAGCCCUUUUGUUGGGAAAGAAAUCCGGCUGGCUAAUACCCUGGGGUCAUGACGGUACCGUAAGAAUAAGCACCGGCUAACUACGUGCCAGCCGCCGCAGUAA